AUGUGGGGAAGGAUGAGAAGCUUCGACUAAGGUUCGAUUCGAGCGCAGCGAGAAAGCGUUGCCGCAGGCAACGACCCGAAGGGCGAAGCGCGCAGCGCUGAGUAAUCCUUCCCCUACCACCA
rnacentral:sRNA from 1 species